UACGUAGGGUGCGAGCGUUGUCCGGAAUUAUUGGGCGUAAAGAGCUCGUAGGCGGUCUGUCGCGUCGGUCGUGAAAACUUGGGGCUUAACCCUGAGCUUGCGGUCGAUACGGGCAUGACUGGAGUUCGGCAGGGGGAGACUGGAAUUCCUGGUGUAGCGGUGAAAUGCGCAGAUAUCAGGAGGAACACCGGUGGCGAAGGCGGGUCUCUGGGCCGGUACUGACGCUGAGGCGCGAAAGCGUGGGUAGCAAACAGG
rnacentral:rRNA from 1 species